UGGGGAAUAUUGGACAAUGGGCGCAAGCCUGAUCCAGCCACGCCGCGUGAGUGAUGAAGGCCUUCGGGUCGUAAAGCUCUGUGGGGAGGGACGAACCGCUGUGCGUGAAUAUCGCGCAGCAUGACGGUACCUCCUUAGCAAGCACCGGCUAACUACGUGCCAGCAGCCGCGGUAAUACGUAGGGUGCGAGCGUUAAUCGGAAUUACUGGGCGUAAAGCGUGCGCAGGCGGUUCGUUGUGUCGGCGGUGAAAGCCCCGGGCUUAACCUGGGAAUGGCCGUUGAAACUGGCGAACUGGAGUGUGGCAGAGGGGGGUGGAAUUCCGCGUGUAGCAGUGAAAUGCGUAGAGAUGCGGAGGAACACCGAUGGCGAAGGCAGCCCCCUGGGCUAACACUGACGCUCAGGCACGAAAGCGUGGGGAGCAAAC
rnacentral:rRNA from 1 species